UUUCCGUAGGUGAACCUGCGGAAGGAUCAUUAAAUAAUUUAGAUGGCCUUUGCUAGUUUUCUAGCGAAUGGUUCAUUCUUUUUUACUGUGAACUGUUUUAAUUUUUCAGCGUCUGAGGAAUGUCUUUUAGCCAUAGGGAUAGGCUACUAGAAUGUUAACCGAGCUGAAAGUCAGGCUUAGGCCUGGUAUCCUAUUAAUUAUUUACCAAAAGAAUUCAGUAUUAUAAUUGUAACAUAAGCGUAAAAAACUUAUAAAACAACUUUUAACAACGGAUCUCUUGGUUCUCGCAUCGAUGAAGAACGUAGCAAAGUGCGAUAACUAGUGUGAAUUGCAUAUUCAGUGAAUCAUCGAGUCUUUGAACGCAACUUGCGCUCAAUGGUAUUCCAUUGAGCACGCCUGUUUCAGUAUCAAAAACACCCCACAUUCAUAAUUUUGUUGUGAAUGGAAAUGAGAGUUUCGGCUUUAUUGCUGAAUUCUUUAAAAUUAUUAGGCCUGAACUAUUGUUCUUUCUGCCUGAACAUUUUUUUAAUAUAAAGGAAUGCUCUAGUAAAAAGACUAUCUCUGGGGCCUCCCAAAAUAAAUCAUUCUUAAAUUUGAUCUGAAAUCAGGCGGGAUUACCC
rnacentral:rRNA from 1 species